AUUAUCACUGUUAUAUUCUUCCCAUGACUCUGGGUGACAUCAGUGACAGAUUGCAUCAGUAGAGGGUAUCUUAUUGUUAAUAUCUAUAGCCACUUUAUUGGUGCAAACCAUGGCCACUCUUGGACCAAGAAAACAAAAACCAUGAACACCCCCCCUUCUUCUCCUUUUUCUCUUAGACUUGACUAGAUCUCAGUCGGUCUGUUCUCUCGCUCUUCGAUCUCCUAAUGACUGUAUGCCCUCUCUGCCCCUGAUCUCACCCACUUUUGCCGAAACUCUCAUCUCUAACACCUCAAUUUAAUUACCCAUCCCCAAUGAAACCCUGAAAUUCAGUUGGUCUUCUCUCUCGCUCUUCGAUCUCCUAAUGACCGUAUGCCCUCUCUGCCCUGAUCUCUCCCACUUUUGCUGAAACUCUCAUCUCUAACACCUCGAUUAAAUUAUCCAACCCCAACGAAACUGAGAAAUUCUCUGUGGGUCUAAGCAGUAUGAUUAUGGGCUUUUCAUUGACGAAGGACAAGGAGGUUCAAUGGAAUCUGACUCUACUUACAGAUCAUAUGUCUCGUCUUUUCCGUUUUGCAAUCUAGGCUCUGCAAUUUAAUAUCUCUUGGUUUUGGACAACUGAUGGUAUAAUAGGGUGUUUAAUUUGCAGAUUUCUUUCUCCUCGUUAUGAAUCAUGAUGAGAUGGUUGAAAUCAGUCCUGCAGGAAUAAGGAACUCCAAGAUUUUACCUUCUGGAUAUGUCGUCUAGAGAUCGACCCAAAUGUCGUUUGAGUCUUCUGCCAUGAUGGAGCUUGCUAAGUGCUAUGCAAAUACUACAAGAUCGUAUAAGCUGAGGAACCGCUUUUCGUUAUGAAUUGGGAGAGUAGGAAUUCAGAUGGAUCUGAUAUGUGAAAGUCACUGGUAUUUCAAGAAGAAGAUGAUUUUCUGCUAUUCAGAUGGAUCUGAUAUAUGAAAGUAAGUCAAGAAGAUGAUGAACUUGCUUGUGCACUUGCCAUGCUUUUGUGUGAUUCGGAGCCCGACAGAUGAAGGAAAUGCCUUGAAGAAGUAAAGUUCAAUUUGCUUCUGUUGAGGGGUUGUUAUCUACAUGCACAAAGCUUCCACAGAUGAAGGAAAACCUAGCUUUUCCAGUGGGAAACCUUCUUGUGAUGGUAUGCUCAACGUAGCCGUAUUAUCAUCUAAUUCAUUGUUCAAAUGAAAGAAUCUAGUUUAUUGGUAGCGAGCAUACAUAGGUCAAGCAAAAUAAGUUGCAGUCUGGAUUAUCUUUGAAGCAUAUAGAAUAUAAGGAGCAGAAGAGGCUUAUUGAGAUUGCUUGUGCUUUUUUAGGAAUCAGUUUCCUUCCAAAACAAUGCAUGCUGUUCUUCUGUCGUGCUCUACUCUCACUAAAGCUCAAACAUUUUUAGUUAGUCCUCUUGACGCUGUUGGUUUAGGUUUGCUACUCUUUGCCAACGAGUAGCCUCUUUUAUGGUUUUGACAAUCCAAAAUAUUCUUGAAGAUUGUCAAAUGGAAUAUGAGAUAAGGCACAACCUUGUGGCUGCUGCCAGCAGACAUUCAAAUGGAAGGGUUUCUUCCUGCAAUUUACAAGCAAGUUUAGGUUCUGCCAUUUUGCGAGACUGGUUGAUGUUCAUAUGCGCCUCUCCAUUUUGUGGGACUGCGUACUUGUCAAGUGGAAAUGGUUUGUGUGAGGCUUUGCAUUGUUUUCCUAAACGAUCGUGACAAAGAUACUCCACAAAAAAGAAAAGAAAAGGAAAAUCAGAGGAAUAAAUCUUUGGAGAAAGACAAGACAGAUUUUGGAUGGGGAAGCUGCUCUGUUGAAUACAAAUCUCAGUAGCUUCUGGACUGGAUAUGUCGAGGUCCAUAAUUGAAAGAGUGCUAAAGUGGAUUGGCAAUAUUCCUGAGUUCUGUGCGAUUGAGCUUCUUCUAGAUUCUCUGUCUAAUGUUCUUUGGGAGAUUAUCUUGGUGUUGACGUGCUUCAUGAGACCCCAUCAUCAACUGACAUGGAUGUUAAUGCUCCUGCUAUCAAUGGAAAACGAAUAGCUAUUGCUUUGUCCUCUGAAGAUGGUGGAGAAGGUACUCAAAGAAGAUUCUGCAUCAUUUGCAUAGGUAAGUUGUUAUAUUGAAGCUUCUGACAGAGAUUUUAGAAAUUUAUGCUGCAUCUGACCAAGUUCUAUAUUGGAAGGAUGCUGAAAUUGGUAGUUGUAGGAUCCCAAAGCAAGAGGGUUCUACUGCUGUAUGCACUGGUGGAAUAUUUCACCAUGUUCUGCACAUGUUUAUUCUAUAUUCACGAAGUGUUAAUAGUGAAAGAAACAAAAAAAAAAAAAAACAGAUGUAUAUUGGAAGCAGAAAUUAGCAAGCAGGGUGAGCCGGUUUUUAAGUUCAGCAUGUGUCGUUCUGUGAUACAAUGAGGCUAUUAUUGCGGCUCUGAGAAACUGGGAGUGUGCUUCCCGUGGUGCUGUCCAUGCUUGAAAUGAAGACCCAAAUAGGAAGCUGCUACAUGGUCAGUAUAUGAGCAUCUGGAUUGAGGGAAAACGUAACCACCGAUGUGGUCUUUGUUCGAAAACCAAGUUUAUUAGCUCAUUAAUCGUUUUUUCUGUUU